AUUUGUUUCAAGAAAGUAAGUGAUUUAGUUCAAAAUGUCAUUUUAAGAUUUUUAAUCUUUAAUAAUAUUAUGGUGUUAUUACCAGAUAUUUGGCAGUAUGAAACCUAUAAUAUUAUAUACAAUAUUAUAUACCCUAUUUUACUUAUAAAAUUAAUAAUCUGUAAAGUAAUUUGUAAAAGAUUUUUAAUUGUAAAAUUUCUACAUGAGAAAACAAGUUUUUAGAUGAAAUUCAAAUAUUCUCUAUGCUUGUGUUUUGUAGGUCAAAAAAUAGUAAAGAUGAUAUUGAUUGUGAUGACCAAGAGAUUCAUUUUAAGACACAUCAAUCUUAAUCAUCUUAAAUUAAAAAGGAUAAAUAUGAUAGAAUUCCAUUAUCUCAAGCAAUUUGUGCAUCGACUGCUCACUAAUCAUUUACAGAGUCGAUUGUUGAUGCAAUAAUUACUGAUUCGUUAAAACUGGCAACUUCUACUUGUGUUAAAGUACCUUAAAUCCAACAGAUAUCAUCGUUACGAUAUUAAUUUGUUUGUAAAUUGUUUUAGAAAAUAAAUUUAAAAAUAACUUUUAAAUAAA